rnacentral:rRNA from 1 species
UACGUAGGGGGCUAGCGUUGUCCGGAUUUAUUGGGCGUAAAGAGCGUGUAGGCAGCCAGGUAGGUCUGCUGUGAAAACUCGAGGCUCAACCUCGAGACGCCGGUGGAAACCGUAAAGCUAGAGUCCGGAAGAGGAGAGUGGAAUUCCUGGUGUAGCGGUGAAAUGCGCAGAUAUCAGGAGGAACAACCGUGGCGAAAGCGGCUCUCUGGGACGGUACUGACGCUGAGACGCGAAAGCGUGGGGAGCAAACAGG